ensembl:lncRNA
CGGCGAAAGCGGGUGACCCAAUUUAUGGGAGUUUAUUCAGGAGUGGAAGAAUUGAAGCUAUGUCGAGAAUCGAGGUGUUAACUCCAAAACCCAGAUUACUUUAAAUGGUACGGGCGAGUGGGUUUUGAGAGGGCCUGUCUGGCUCAAGUAUUUCCCGCACGUCGAUUGCCUCCUGUCCAUCUAUGGCGGCUCACCAGGGAUCACAUCAGAAUAAAAUGUUUCGGCAGCGUGGGAGAAGAAGGAACGAAGCGUUUGUCUGUUAAGGCAGGUGUGUAAACGGGUGUUGGAGAAUAGAGGGGGAGAAAGAAAGAGCACCAAAGAUUGCGUUGCACUGUGUUUUUCUUUUCGAGAAAGUGCGUGUUUGUACCCGAUCAACUCCGUCGUAGAGACCUCCGGCAGUCUGAAGGCCAAGCUAAGGGACACCCGUGGCCUGCUGAGGAUUAGCUGUGUGUUCUUACUACUCUCCAGUCAAGAAAGAUGUUUCCUCUAACGUCACACAGGCCGACUGACCUACUCAAACUCAGCCAGAUAACAUCUGUACUCCACUGUUAAAGGGAAGUGUUUGCUUUUUCAGGAAGGCUCCACUACAGUCCAUGGUUCAGCCAGAUCAAAGGCAGCCAUCUUCUGUAACGCAGCGCUCUCCCGAGGCCCUUGAAGAGCUGCACAGCCGAUGACGACAGCCUCCAGGUGUUGCGAUUCACAGAACAUCACAACGGUCCUUUCUAUAAAAGGACCCUGUUUAUUCACUUAAAGGGACAGUUCACUGAAAAUGCUUAAAGUGCCCAUAUUAUGAAAAAAAUCACGUUUUCUGGGUUUUGGGGUGUUCUUUUGCGUCUCUGGUGCUUCCACACGCAUACAAACUUUGGAAAAAAAACAUCCAUGCUGUUUUGAGUGAGAUAUAGGUUUCUGAAUGUCCUCUGUCUUCAGUCUCUGGGUGAGCUGUUAGAAAACUCCUCGGACUGUGACGUCACAGUCCGAAAAAUUUAAAUAUUCCCACCCUCCACCCACCAGGUACAGCAGUAACUUCUUCUCUGAUAUCCUCCAUGUUGUUACUGAUUCAGAACCACCAUGUCGAAGCACCACUUAAACUGUGGUUGGCUGUAAAGAGGAGCACAAAACACUCCAUCGCGUCCCAGCCGCAGAGGACAGAAGAGUGGCAUGGCUUGAAUUCAUUUUUGAAGGCAAUGUCCCUGCUACAGUUAUCAAAAUUUUUUCGGUUUGUGCUAACCAGUUUGAGACGGCUGUUUCUCCAACUUCGGUCAGUACAAGGCAGGAUUAGCCAAGAAACUUUUGCUAAAAGAGUGCGCAAUUCAAACUUUGCGUGGAAUACCUGCAGACAAGGGACAUGUAAGUAGUUCUAUACAAUUAGCUGUCUUUAUUUUGCAAUUCUACACAAACUAACCAAGAAGU